UACGAAGGGGGCUAGCGUUGCUCGGAAUCACUGGGCGUAAAGGGCUCGUAGGCGGUUUGUCGCGUCGGGAGUGAAAACAUCUGGCUUAACUGGGUGCUUGCUUUCGAUACGGGCAGACUAGAGGUAUGCAGGGGAGAACGGAAUUCCUGGUGUAGCGGUGAAAUGCGCAGAUAUCAGGAGGAACACCGGUGGCGAAGGCGGUUCUCUGGGCAUGAUCUGACGCUGAGGAGCGAAAGUGUGGGGAGCGAACAGG
rnacentral:rRNA from 1 species